rnacentral:rRNA from 1 species
AUUGAACGCUGGCGGCAUGCUUUACACAUGCAAGUCGAACGGUAACAGGCCGCAAGGUGCUGACGAGUGGCGAACGGGUGAGUAAUGCAUCGGAACGUGCCCAGUCGUGGGGGAUAACGCAGCGAGAGCUGUGCUAAUACCGCAUACGAUCUAUGGAUGAAAGCGGGGGACCGUAAGGCCUCGCGCGAUUGGAGCGGCCGAUGUCAGAUUAGGUAGUUGGUGGGGUAAAGGCCUACCAAGCCAACGAUCUGUAGCUGGUCUGAGAGGACGACCAGCCACACUGGGAAUGAGACACGGCCCAGACUCCUACGGGAGGCAGCAGGGGGGAAUUUUGGACAAUGGGCGCAAGCCUGAUCCAGCAAUGCCGCGUGCAGGAAGAAGGCCUUCGGGUUGUAAACUGCUUUUGUACGGAACGAAACGGUCUGGGUUAAUACCCCGGGCUAAUGACGGUACCGUAAGAAUAAGCACCGGCUAACUACGUGCCAGCCGCCGCCGUAACAC